UGUCCUGUAGCUCAGUGGUAGAGCGUCCGACCGGUGUGCAGAAGAUUAUAGGUUCGACUCCAGUUGGAAGAA